UGGGGGAAUAUUGCACAAUGGGCGCAAGCCUGAUGCAGCGAUGCCGCGUGAGGGAAGAAGGUUUUCGGAUUGUAAACCUCUGUCAUCAGGGACGAAAAAGACGGUACCUGAGAAGGAAGCUCCGGCUAACUACGUGCCAGCAGCCGCGGUAAUACGUAGGGAGCAAGCGUUAUCCGGAAUUACUGGGUGUAAAGGGUGCGUAGACGGGAAGAUAAGUUAGUUGUGAAAUCCCUUGGCUUAACUGAGGAACUGCAACUAAAACUGUUUUUCUUGAGUACUGGAGAGGAAAGUGGAAUUCCUAGUGUAGCGGUGAAAUGCGUAGAUAUUAGGAGGAACACCAGUGGCGAAGGCGACUUUCUGGACAGAAACUGACGUUGAGGCACGAAAGUGUGGGGAGCAAACAGGAUUAGAUACCCUGGUAGU
rnacentral:rRNA from 1 species